rnacentral:rRNA from 1 species
GCUGGCGGCAGGCCUAACACAUGCAAGUCGAACGGUAGCAUUUNUAGCUUGCUAGAAGAUGACGAGUGGCGGACGGGUGAGUAAUACUUAGGAAUAUGCCUUUGUGUGGGGGAUAACCAUUGGAAACNAUGGCUAAUACCGCAUAACGUCUUCGGACCAAAGGGGGCNUUGGCUCCCGCGCAAAGAGUAGCCUAAGCGAGAUUAGCUUGUUGGUGAGGUAAAGGCUCACCAAGGCGACGAUCUCUAGCUGUUCUGAGAGGAAGAUCAGCCACACUGGAACUGAGACACGGUCCANACUCCUACGGGAGGCAACAGUGGGGAAUAUUGCACAAUGGGGGAAACCCUGAUGCAGCCAUGCCGCGUGUGUGAAAGAAGGCCUUCNGGUUGUAAAGCACUUUCAGUUGUGAGGGAAAGGUUAACGGUUAAUACCCGUUAGCCUGUGACGUUUGCAAACUANAANAAGGACCCGGCUAACUCCGUGCCCA